AUGGGUGGGUCAUCUUUCAAGAUCUAAUCAUCCCCUCAUUCCUUCCAGGUUUUCUAAGCUUUCAACACUCCAGAGUUUACUCUCAUGAUCACUGUGCUGUGGGGCUGGGAGUGCUUGCUUUCUGGGGGGAGAGUAAACAUACUGAGCUACUAGGACGGCAGGACCCACCAAAGAGACCAGAUGUGCUGGGGCAAGUCCACAUCAGAGCUAGACCUUGAAGGAGGUCUAGGAGGUUUGGGGGGCAGGGAGAUCAGGGAUGGGCCUGAGGACUGGGCAGGAGGCAUCCUCUCUUUACCAAGCGUUCCUGGACAGCGACAAGCCCAAGCUCACUGGCGAGUCUGGACCGAGCCUUGACCCGAGGCUUCCUGAAUUCCAUCCUGCUAUUCUCCAGCAGGUGUUUCUGGCCCCUUUGCCUUAAGGGGGCCUCAGGUUUGGGAAAGUAAAAGUGAAUAUAUCCUUAGCAAACAAGCCUCCAUAGCCAAGAGCUGGAAAUAGGAUGGCAGGGAGGGCCACUGUUCUGAGAGCCCUCGCCAUUCCCCGGUCCAGCCUGCGAGGCUUUGCGAGCAUCCCCUGGUUCCCAAGCUCUCCCGGGAACGUGGCCGGAAGAGGAGGUUAAUGGGAUGCCUGGCGAGGUGGAACUUAACAGUUUUUAAUCAGGACAAGCUGCCAGCCACCUUUCCUUUGUAGAGUGGAGACAGCAAAACUCCGUGAAGCAGAACUUCUUUAUUUGGGGAGAGCCGACUGACUGAUUCCUCCUCGUUUCAUUCAUAUUUCAAUGGGAGCCUAUCGUCUUCGUCAUUGUGGCGGACACACCGUAACAGAUUGGAUCUGUCAAGCCAGCCCCCAAUCCAACAGCUGAAAGCACAGAGGGUGUUCUUUUGUUCGCAAAUGAGCUGGGUGAUUCUGCUUAUCUCAACCAGCCUCGGUCCUGCCUCUGCACUCACCCUGGGGCUGGGUGCACAGUUCUGCGGAUCUUGGCUGGGCUCUCUUGUUUGGAGUGUCAGCUGUGGCUGGCUGGGACAACUGGGUCUUGUGCCAUGAUCAACCUCUGCGAAGAUCAAGGAUGUUCUUCCGGCAGACUAGCCUGCAGUUGCUUGCACGGGGGCUGGGCUCCGAGAGAGUAAACAGAAGUGCACGAGGCCUCUUGAACUUGGGAGCAGACUCAGUUCCUUUUGAACCUGGAGAUGACUGUGGCCUCAGCUGACACUUUGGUUGCAGCCUCUUGGGAAAUCGUGGAGCAGAGGAACAGCUAAGCCGCAUCCUGGCUCUCGAUCUGCAGAAACUGUGAGAUAGUAGAUGUGUGUUGUCUAAUUGCUAAGUUUGGGCCCAUUUGUUAUGCAGCGAUAGCUAGCUAAUACACCUCUCCCCGAACUCCUGGAUGUGCAGAGCUCCUUCCCAUCUGAGGUUCUCUCUGGGUUGAGGUGGCUUGGGUGGAGAUCAGAGGGCAGGGAAGGGCAUUUGGUGGUGUCCCAGUGGGGGCUUAGUCCUAAGGAAAGAGGGAGGGGCAGGAUUCUAAUGCAGGGCUCGCUGGGGAUAGAAGUCCUACCUCACUCUCUUUUCCUGGCAUGUUGUCUAGCCUGGUGAUUGGGACCUGAACUCCUGCAUGAAUGCCAACUGAAUGAGUGUUACCUUGAAGCCCCACUGGGGUGUGCAAGGACCUGCCUUAGGACCAGCAGGGUCAAGGAAGCAGGAUUACACAAAACCAUUGUCCAACAUCACCACAGAGGCCAGCAGUGAGACUCCCUCGGCCACCACCCAGCCCACAGUGCCGAGAAUAGUACCGCGUGGACAGUCGGUGCUCAAUUCAUACUGUCAGUGGAAGAUCGCGGGAACUGGAUGCCGGGCAGGCGGUGACCCGAAGGGCUCCACGGAGGGCCGGGAGCGCUGCUUUGUGCUGGGCGUCUCAUGGCACUGGGGACACCAGCAGUGACCAGGACAGACCCAGCCCUGUCCUCCCAGUGCUCCUGAUCUGGGCAGGGCAGAGGGACACGUGCCUGGGCAGUGGUGACGUGAGUCCUGAGAGCGAUAACGCGGGACACACAGGCAGCCCAGAGGAGGCCCCGGAGGCUAGAGAGUCCACGGAAUGUUGUGAUAAGCGAGCAUGUGGGUGUGUUCUGGAGGUGCGCAAAGCUAUGGACAAGACGAUGUUUUCAAGACUCAGUUGCAAGUCCAGAAACCCUGCAGCCACCAGGCACCGGCAGAGCGGGGCGUGGGGACACCCGAGUCCCUGGGCAACUCAUCAGUAUCAUGUGGUGACAACGCCCCGAGAAGAGACCCGGACAGCGAGAGUUCAGAGGUGCGCACAACAGGAGGGCCUGUGGACGCAUGGCCUUCCGCUGUGGUCCCAAGUUGGCCUGGUGGAGAGGAGAAGCCACCUGGCUGCCGAUGCCUGGGGCUUCGAAGCCUGCCGGACCCCGGACUCUGGGAAGAGGCGGGCUCUUGAGUCAGACACGUCCAGAGGUCGACUGCGGCCCCACUGCUUCCUGACCAGGUGACCUUGAGCAAGUGACCACCCCUCCCGAGGCUAGGGUUCUGGUCCAUAAAAUGGAGACAACAUAAAUCGUCCCCCCUCGCAUGGGUAUGGGGGUGAGAUGAAUUCACUCAGGGGCACCUGACUGGCUCCGUUGGAGGAGAGUGUGUGUGACUCGUGAU